AAAAAAGGAAGGGGGAAAGAGGGUAGAGAUGUUCUAGAGCCAGCUGUAGAGGUUCCUGAGAGCUGAGUGUUAAAUUUUCAGGUUCCUAUAGUCCUGAAUUUUAGACCACAGUCUGCAAAGAAUGCCACGGUGGCCAUUUCUGCACAAAUGGAAAUUCUUCUAGAUGCCCAGAAAUGUGCCCUUCAAGACCUGAGAAAAGGAAGAAAGAAAAACAGAGAGAAAAGAAAGGAAGAAAAGAAGGAAGGAAGGAAGGAAAAUCCAAUUAUUCUUAGUGUUGAGAAGAAGCUGUCCCAAGGAAACCUUACAUCCCACCAACUUCUCAGGAUUUCCCCUAAGAUUUUGACAUUACAAACAAUGUCACAACAAUAUUUUCACAACAAACAUGUGAGGGCUGACAUUCAUUCCCAACCUGUCCUGAUGCUGGCAGGCUAAGAGUUUUUAUAUGGGGAAUUCAAAGCUACGAUUCACUCUGGUUGUGGGAUUGGAGGAAGAAGGAGAGAAAUGCAAGUCUGCUACUGUAUGCUCUAGAUUCUGAGCUUUUCAUUUAACAAAUCAGCCAGCCAGAUCUGUUAACUUUUAAUCAAAAAUAUGUACUAAACAGAAGACAAAACAAGAAUAAAAACAAUAUAAAAUUCCACCUAUAGACCACAGACAUACCCUCCAACAGUGCAGGGAAUGAGCACAAACUUAGAGAACCAGAGCAGACAUCCAUAGAGAACACAUGUGCUCCAAAAUUCUGGAAUAUGGACCUCAAUAUCCUCUUAUCUCUCUCAGGAACUGCCUACACAAUAACCCACUAGUAGAAAAUGAUAUUUAUCACUGGCUCCUCUGUUCUAGCCACUCCUCUUCUGGGGUUCUGUGAUAGUGUGGUGGGACAGAAUUAUGCACAAAAACUACCAGAGUAAGAAAAAGUAAAAAGAGGUUUAUUACAAUCUGUGAGAAAAGGCAUCUUUUCUCUGACAAGGGGUUUGUCAGUCAAGGAAGUACAAAGCAUAAACUGUAAAAACCAAGUUAAAUAGCCUGCAAAGUGCCCACCCCCAGAAAAGGCUGGAUUUUUCUCCCAUUACUUUUGGGGGAGUCCAGACAUAUUCUAAUGGAAGAAUUCUAACUCAGAAACAAAAAAAAUGGGUAAAUCAAUAAUAAUAAGCUCUUAAUUUAAGUUUCCCUAGAGAAUUGAUAUACAAGCAGAUAUAGAAUUUAAAGCCAUCAUCACCUUUAAAAGAAGUAUUUAAAUGCUAAUUAAGAAGUGGUGGGAAAUAAGAGGGAACAACACCUGCAACUUUUUAGCUAUAGUUCUAUUUGUUAUUAUAAAGUCUCAAGUCACAAUGAAAGAAUAGUUUAAGGCUAUAUUCCCAUUAGACACCUUCACUUAGUCAAUUCCUCAUAGUAGUAGAACACUUUUUCAGUAAAAAUAGAAACCCUGAGCCUGGGAUCUGCAAGGCUUCUUCUGGUGAGCUCCCUUGACUGGGCUCUGAGGAAUUCUAUCUUUGAGGCAAUGAAUGAAUGAAAACAAAAACAAAAACAUGAAAGCUUUAGAUUGGAAGCUCCUAGAGGAUAGGGACUAUCUUUCCUUUUUUUUAUAUCCUCACUGCUUAGCAGAGUAGCUGAUCCAUUUGUUGUUCAGUCAUUUAUCUGUGUGCGCCUGUCCCAGCUGUGCACUGUAAUAUGGAGUUGCUAUCCAUGGGGUUUUCUUGGGAAGAUAGUGUGAUUUGGCAUUUCCUUCUGCAAUGGAUUAAGGCAAACACAGUUUAAGUGACUUACCCAGGAUCACACAGCUAUUAGAUGUCCAAAACUUGAUUUGAAUUCAGCUCUUCCCUACUCUAGACCCAGUGCUCUACCCUCUGAGUUACCUCACUUUCUCCAUGUAGCACAGAGUAAAAUGCUUAAUAAAUGUUUAUUGGCCAA